rnacentral:misc_RNA from 1 species
CAACAUCCAUCAUGUCUUCAUUUUUAGGAGGAUCAAUAACCUCUGGCUUACUUCUCAUGUCAUCAAAAAAAGGAUUUCCAGAUGCCAUGCUAGUAUGACCACUCACCGAAUUUUGUUCUCUACUCAACCUUCUUGCUUGAUUUGUAGAAGCUGUUGACAAGCUGUGGUUCCUCACCCUAGCAGCAAUGUACAUGAUAAAAUCACAUAAACUUCAUGAUUUGACUCAAACUUCAAAACACAGUUCCUGUAGGACAUCUACUGAAACAACUGAAUAACACCUCACAGGCUGCCUCACAGCAGUCGGAGCACCUAAUUGCCCAGAUAACGAGCAAUCGGUCAACCACUGAAUACGACAAUAAAAUACUCCAAUUCACACACACAAACAAAACAAUACAUGAUCAAUAAAAAUAACCAGAUCAUCCACUUAAGCUAAUUUAAAAAGACACUGAACAGAGCACAGAAUCAAUAUAUUAAAUACCAGUGUGAUGCAUAAAGUAUGCUUUUAACAAAGUUAAACAUGAAAUGCUUUAAAUGGAGAUCAUCAGCACAAAGUGACUAUAAUUUCCCCAUCAAGACUACUACUUCUCCGAACCUCGAUCACACUCACAUACACACACAAAGCACAAAAUUACAAACGCCAUAUACAAGAAGAAUAUUAAGAAAAGAGGAUGAAGAGCUGUCAUUCUCACUCUACACUCCCAAUAAAUAUAAGCUCAAAAAACACUGAGGGGAAUAAUCAAAUUGGGACAAAACAAAACCCUAAAACAAACAA